ACCAGCAACCACCGCUCCUCAUCUGAGCUCCGUCGAGAAACCAACAAAGGAUCCAAAAAGAGUCAGACGCCCAAGCCACCAUGGCGAACCCAUCCACGAGCUCGCGGUCGUCGUGCGCGGCUCCCAGUGGCACCAAGCUCACCUGCCUCUGCUCGCCGACCAACCACCCGGGCUCCUUCCGCUGCACUCGCCACCGCAACCCGCGGGGGCGACCGCAGACGUCCUCGCCGCCGUCGUCCGGCCGCCCGUCGCAUCAGUCGGCCGCUUCUGGCGCGAGCGCGGCGGUGCGCGUCGAGGGGAUCGUCAGGAGCGGCGGUGUCGGCACGGGCGGCAGGACCGGCAAGGGCCGGUUCGUCCUGCGCGCGCACCUGCUGCGGCUGGUCAGCCCGCCGUCCUCCGACGGCCACGACCACCGCCGCUGCCGCGACUUCAAGCCCCGCCCGUCCAGGCUGGGGCGCCUAGCCGUGACCGCGUGACGGGGGCCGGCCGGCCGGCCGCCGCUGCUCACCUGCUCUGCUUCGCAGCUGGUAGUACGCAGCUCACUAGUCACUAGUGGUGAACGGUGCGCCUCUAUUUCGCGCGCACCGAGAAUCCAAAAAGGGUCAGACGCCCAGGCCACCAUGGCGAACCCAUCCACGAGCUCCAGGCCGUCGUGCGCGGCUCCCAGUGGCACCAAGCUCACCCUGCCUCUGCUCACCGACGAAUCACCCGGGCUCCUUCCGCUGCACCCGCCACCGCAACCCGCGGGGGCGACCGCAGACGUCGUCGCCGCCGUCGUCAAGCCGGGCCUGGCAGCAGGCCGCGGCUUCGGGCGCGAGCGCCACGGUGCGCGUCGAGGGGAUUCUCAGGACCGGCAAGAGCCGGUCCGUCCUGCGCGCGCACCUGCUGCGGCUGGUCAGCCCGCCGUCCUCCGGCGGCAGCGACCACCGCCGCUGCCGCGACUUCAAGCCCCGCCCGUCCAGGCUGGGCCGCCUAGCCGUGACCGCGUGACGGCGGCCUGCCGGCCGGCCGCUGCUCACCUGCUCUGCCUCGCAGCUCACUAGUCACUAGUGGUGAACGGUGCGCCUCUAUUUCGCGCGCACCGACGCUCGGAUCCGUUCAUCUAGCAAAUACUAGCUCCGUGCCUAGGAUCGGGUGCUACUCUGGAAUCAAUGCUUUGUUAGUAGUAGUACUGUGAUGAACUGGUGACACGGUGCUGAUAAUUACUACUCCUUGUAUGAAUCUGUACACAUGUUCCUAGUAAUUUUUGCAGAGGAAUGAAACAGAUUAGUAGUUUCUGUGUUAUCUAACUUAUUACUGUGCUUACCUUUGUGAUGUUCUGGGGAUUUACUAAUGGACGAGAAUGGUACAAAUUCUCAGGGUUUUUUUCUACAGCAGAAUUUCUCACUUGGUUUGUGCCCAUGAGACUUGAGAUUGCCUUGCUUGUCAUAAUUCCGUUCAAAAGAAUUAUACGUACUUGUGAUGAUUCCCUUUCAAGCCCCUCUAUCUGGAUGAUUUCGCAGGAAAUAUUUUCGAGUUUCUUUAUGUUUUUGUGGGGAAUAGUUUUACUCUGCUUAGCUAGCUCCAGAAAAAUGAAGGUAAUUAAGUUCACUCACGAGACGCCCAUGACUCUAAAACUAAUCAGACAGCAGCGUUCUUUAUGUGUUGGUCGCGUGUGGGGCUGUGCCUUGAGCGCGUCUCAACUUCCCUUUGUUUACUUGUGCGGCCUGAACCUUCGAGAUGAUUUUCCCCCGCUUUAAUUACUUUAUUGUUCUAGCUCAGCUAAGUUUCUCAGUUUUUUCUCCAUGAGCAGACGCGGUGUACACGCUGCUAGGAGCAGUAUACUCUUGGUAACAUUAUUAUCCGAUGAUACUUCUCUACUAAGUUCUCCAAGUGAGGUCCAAAAAAGGAGCCUGAACAAAUGCUAUUCUAUAAUCAAAUCACAUGACUUGCAGACUUUAAAGGUUGAUAUAUUUUUUGUUGGAAGAGAUUCCGAUAAAUCACGGAUGGACAUGCCAUCACGCGCUGCCAAUAUCCAUACCGCACGACGCCACAAGAUUCGUGCAACAUUAAUACGCUUCGGUUGUAUAAUCAGUUCACUUAUUUGUAUAGCACUUAGUACUCAUGCACUUAUUUGUAUAGCACUUAUUCGUGCAACAUCCUGUGUAUGCCCCACGAGGCAGCACAAGCAUUUAAAUUGCUAGCGGGCGUUCCUGAUGGUUCCAGCUUUUGUACUGUAUUAGAUGUAGUUCCAGCAUUUGUACUGGAUUCGGUAGUUCCAGCUUUUGUACUGUAUUAGAUAUAGUUCCAGCAUUUAGUAGUUCUCUUGUAUGCAUUCAGUUGUAUCACGUAUGCACCGUGCAUGUAUGCCGAUUUAGAUGCAUUAAACAGUAAUUGUUUGCGAGCAUCUUGUUAAUUAAGCCCGACGGACCGCGUGGUGUGUCACAAAUGUACUACUUAAGCCAAAACCACACCCCGCACCCACCUCAUGCAGCAAUAAUUCGUCGGGGCGGCAGCACAAUAAAUACAUAGCAGACGAAUGAAUGCCCCAGCUGCCCCUGCAAAACGUAAAUCCGCCCAGCACCCAAUUGAUGAUCGAUGCAUGGAAGGGCUCCACACGGCGGGCUUAUAAAAUGUUGUGGGAUCAUCAUCGGUUCCACAACACACUCGCAACCGCUAGCACCGCACACAUCUAUCAGUAGCAAGUAGGAAAAACCAAUCGCUGUCGCCGGCAUCUCCUUUUUCAAUAUCAUGGUCCACGAUAUUGUUGAUGUGUAGUAGUUGCAUUGUUUGCUUUUUAUAACACAAGAAAAGGAUAAAGAAAAUAAAAAAAAUUCUCCCCCAUAGGUGAAUGAUGAGACGUCGUGGUUAUAAUUGGAUAGAAAAAUUGGUUUCUCCUCUUUCGACAAUAAAUUACACACAUUUCAAAAACAACCAUUACUCCUUUUCAACAACAUUCUUCCACCCAUUCCCAUGGAGAGCAGCUAGACGUUCAAAACAAUUAAAAACAUGGAAGCGCUCACGGGGUAGCAGUUGAUUUUUAAUAUAACGUAAAAGGAUAAAGUGAGCUGGGAAAUUCAUUUACCUCGGUAAAUAGAUAUCCAUUAUGUGAUCUCGUAAAAAUGAAGAACAUACUAAUUUUUGAUUUACCCCCUAUCAGAAAAAAAAUGAUUUUCCCUCUUUCCAUAAUAAUUUGCACUCACAAAAAAAUCAAUGAAAACCCGAUUCUCCUUCUUCAAUAUGAUGAUCCACGAUAUUGUCAUGUGUAGCAGUUGCAUUGUUUGCUUUUUAUACCACAAGAAAAGAACACCCCCCACCCCCACCCCCCGCCAUAGGUGAAUGAUGAGACGUCCUGGUUAUAAUUGGCUUGAGAAAUUGGUUUCUUCUCUUUCAACAAUAAAUUACACCCAUUUGAAAAAACAACCAAUCCCCCUUCUUCAAAAACAUUUUUCCACCCAUUAUCAUGGAGAGCAGCUAAACGUUCAAAACAAUUAAACCCAUGGUAGCACUCAGGGGGUAGCAGUUGAUUUUUAAUAUAACAAAAAGGGAUAAAGUGAGCUGGGAAAUCUCGUUAGUUUCAUUUGCCAUCUCGUAAAAUGGAUAGAACAUACUAAUUUUUUAUUUACCCCCCAUCAGAAUUAAUUUUUCCUCAUUUGAUAAUAAUUUGCACUCACAAAAAAAUCAAUAAAAAAUCAUUUCACUUUUUUCAAUAUCAUGGUCCAUGAUAUUGUUCAUUGUAGCACACGCAUUAUGCAAGAGAAUAGAAAAACAGCCACCGAAAUUAAAAAAGUCACUUCAAAAUUACCACACGCACAACACACUUCAACGUUUUAAUUGGAUGGUAGGUGGAUACUUCACAGCACGCAUGCAACGGGCUACUGGGAUCUGUCUCGCUCGCGUAUUGAUACGAAACCUAAAUGCGGCAUGGCCCACAGACACGGUGUAUAACAAGAUGUAUUCUCAUCGAUGUGAAUCACGCGGCUUCGUAUUGCCAAAAGGCCUAUUAAAUGUAGGAAUCGCGACGCGCGGGCGGACGGACUGGAUAUCGGCCGUGCGUGGCCGCAUGUCCUAAAAAUCCGCGUCGGAAGAGAUUCUCGUUACUUAAAUAGACAUGUUGCGAUCUGCGAAAAGAAUGCUCUAAAUCUCCUCAAGGGAGCGCCUAACCAGUAAGAACUUCUCUAAUCACUCAUCAAAGAAAAAAAAAGAAUCUCGCAUAACGAAAUCCUUUAAAAAACUCCUCAUAUUGACGUCUUUUGGGGAGUUAAACCCUAACUAACGGAAAACCCUAUACCAUUAACUACUCAAUUUGAGGAGUUUUACAUCAAUUUUUUUUCCGAGGAGUUAACUGUCAGAAGAAGCGUUUUCAGCUCGAAAAUUUGAGCAGCUCACACCCUCCUCAAAUCUUCUCUUUGCUCCUCUCGAUGGAAAAAUGGUUCAACGGGUGGCGAGCAACCAAAUCAACCCCCAUGCCGAUAAAUUUGCGUUGACGCCCCGCCCAGACCCUAGACCCUUCGUUGUCACCCCCAUUUCUCCCCAAAUCGCUGGCCCGGACUCCCCAAACUGUCACCGACAUCGCUCCAAUCGCCAUGGCUUACCGCCUGUCGUGGCAAGGUGGUGGGGUGUCGCCACGUCAGAGGUCAUCUCCAUCAAUUCAUCAUCCUUAGACGACGACUUCGACGACGAGCGAGAGGCGACACAGCUCAGCGUGGCCAUGGCAAAGAAAGCCAAAGAAGAGAAAGAUAUGUGAGUCGAAUGGCGAAGAAACCAAGGAAGAGAGCGGUGCCGGCAACCAAAUCCACCCUCUCUCGUGGGACCAGGCAGAACGGAAGUACGAGCUGGCGUUGCUCGAUAAGGAGGAGGACCGAGCGACGAAGGCGCGGAUCACAGCAGGUCCUGCCGACGCGGAGUCAGUUGUCGGGCUCGAUGCCGAAGAGAAGUUUAUGGCGGUCCAGCAAGCUGUCGAGUAGUCCAUCGCGGACGGGCGUGAGACGGAAGCCAACCAUCUCGGUUCUUGUCUGAGGGGCAUCGACACCGUGCGGUCUUCGAUGAGCUCGACGCCGACAAGGACUCUGGCAAUCCGCCCGUCGGCGGUCAUAAACCUCGACUCCUCCCAGGAUCAGAGCUUGGUUUAGCUUUAUGUAGCUGUAAGUAAGUGAUAUCUACUUUAAUUAUGAACUAUGAUGUUGUGUUAUGAAUUACUAUUAUGUAUAUUAUGCAAUAUGUGGUCUUAGUCUAAUUUCAGUUUGAGUUUUGAAUGAGAUGUGUGUGCACAAUUUAGAUUUUGAGGAGUUGGAUUUGAGGUUUGAUUACCUACUCACAUUUUUUCUUAACUUGAAAUAUUUGAGUAAUUAAGAUUUGAGAAGGAUUUUUCUUAGGAUUCAGUUAGGGAUGGCCUAAGUUACUGAGACCGGCCUGAAGUAUAAAUUUUUUUGUUUGAGUGUGUAAGCUGGGCUUUUUUUUUUCCUCUCUGCACACAUUCGUUCGUGUCGCUACCACUUUAGUUCAAACGACCAUUACUUCACUCACCAUCAUAAUGUGGUCUUCCUAUAUUGUUUCCAUUUCAGAGAUCCAGGAUCCUGGAAAACAUGCAAAACAACACUACAUGCCCUCUGGUUCCCGUGAUCAUCCUUCUGGGAAUUGUCCUAGGAAUGUCUUUGUUUUAAUAAAGCUCUCUAAAUUACCCUCCAGAAGAAAAGGUACAUCCCUACGUUCGGGAUCGUCGUCUCCCACGCCCCAUUUUGAAUGGGCCGGAAUGGUUUGUUAGGUUAGACCUCUGAUCGAACAUUCGGUAUGCAAUUGUUUCGCCCUUGGUGCUGUUUAGCAGAUUUACCUCUCAACUGUUAAAGCCCCCGAUAUGCUCGAAUAAGCCGCGCAAUACCAAUGCGUCGCAUUUAAUGGUCUGUUGUUUCCACAUGACAGGAAUCUCCACUGUUCCGUAUAUGAGACUCUACAAAGUCUACAAUUCAGACCAAAUUAAGAUCACAAGGUUGACAUUGGCAUGUUGCCCUGUUAUACAGGCUAGCCUAGCCAUUAUAUUACCCUGAGCCCAAGGGAAAUGGACUUUAUGUUGCAAACAGACUCUGAACCUGUACACGUCUGCGCAGAUGUCCAAAUGAGUUGAAAUUUGGAGCGGACCUCACGCAUCAAAUUAUCUACCACCCAUUUUUUGGAAGUUUUAAAAAAUUUCUUAUAUUUGUUUUUUUUUUCUGAGAGGGGAUGCAGAUGAACCCGGGAGCAGAAACUCCGCGUCCUAUGCUUAUGCGCAAAAAAAGAAGAAAAAAUAGCAUGCAUGCUACUGUAGUCGCUAGUGGAAUGAGUGAGUGGGUGCUUUCCACCGGUAAAGAUCAGAAUGCUUUCUUUUGAAAAAAAGGAUAAAGGUUAUGCAUGAGCUCAGCUCUUCUGGAAAAAUAACACUUUGCCCUGCGUUCAGUUCAAUCCAUGGCUCCCGAUACUUCACCACAUGUCCGUAGCACGGCGACGUACUACGUAGAAGAACAAAUUACUCUACAUCGAUCUACGCGUGAAGCUGACCUUAAACUAACUGAACCGAACCUGCGCUUUACCAUGUGGUUUGGAAGAUAAUUUCUGGCACUUGCCUGGUGGUUUACACUUGACACGCACACAGGAAAAACGUCGCCACCAAGUCACGCACACACACGUAUGGCUCGUCGCCGGCCCUACGGCGACCGCGCCGAGCUUAUAAAACUAGGAGCGCGCCCCCGAGAAGGCCAGGACUCCACCAGCAACCACCGCUCCUCAUCUGAGCUCCGUCGAGAAACCAACAAAGGAUCCAAAAAGAGUCAGACGCCCAAGCCACCAUGGCGAACCCAUCCACGAGCUCGCGGUCGUCGUGCGCGGCUCCCAGUGGCACCAAGCUCACCUGCCUCUGCUCGCCGACCAACCACCCGGGCUCCUUCCGCUGCACUCGCCACCGCAACCCGCGGGGGCGACCGCAGACGUCCUCGCCGCCGUCGUCCGGCCGCCCGUCGCAUCAGUCGGCCGCUUCUGGCGCGAGCGCGGCGGUGCGCGUCGAGGGGAUCGUCAGGAGCGGCGGUGUCGGCACGGGCGGCAGGACCGGCAAGGGCCGGUUCGUCCUGCGCGCGCACCUGCUGCGGCUGGUCAGCCCGCCGUCCUCCGACGGCCACGACCACCGCCGCUGCCGCGACUUCAAGCCCCGCCCGUCCAGGCUGGGGCGCCUAGCCGUGACCGCGUGACGGGGGCCGGCCGGCCGGCCGCCGCUGCUCACCUGCUCUGCUUCGCAGCUGGUAGUACGCAGCUCACUAGUCACUAGUGGUGAACGGUGCGCCUCUAUUUCGCGCGCACCGAGAAUCCAAAAAGGGUCAGACGCCCAGGCCACCAUGGCGAACCCAUCCACGAGCUCCAGGCCGUCGUGCGCGGCUCCCAGUGGCACCAAGCUCACCCUGCCUCUGCUCACCGACGAAUCACCCGGGCUCCUUCCGCUGCACCCGCCACCGCAACCCGCGGGGGCGACCGCAGACGUCGUCGCCGCCGUCGUCAAGCCGGGCCUGGCAGCAGGCCGCGGCUUCGGGCGCGAGCGCCACGGUGCGCGUCGAGGGGAUUCUCAGGACCGGCAAGAGCCGGUCCGUCCUGCGCGCGCACCUGCUGCGGCUGGUCAGCCCGCCGUCCUCCGGCGGCAGCGACCACCGCCGCUGCCGCGACUUCAAGCCCCGCCCGUCCAGGCUGGGCCGCCUAGCCGUGACCGCGUGACGGCGGCCUGCCGGCCGGCCGCUGCUCACCUGCUCUGCCUCGCAGCUCACUAGUCACUAGUGGUGAACGGUGCGCCUCUAUUUCGCGCGCACCGACGCUUGGAUCCGUUUAUCUCGGAGCUAGGAUCGAGUACUACUCUGGAAUCAAUGCUUUGUCACGGUGCUGAUAAUUACUACUCCUUGUAUGAAUCUCUACACAUGUUCCUAGUAAUUUUUGUAGAGGAAUGAAACAGAUUAGUAGUUUCUGUGUUAUCUAACUUAUUACUGUGCUUACCUUUGUGCUGUUCUGGGGAUUUACUAAUGGACGAGAAUGGUACAAAUUCUCAGGGUUUUUUCUACAGCAGAAUUUCUCACUUGGCUUGUGCCUAUGAGACUUGAGAUUGCCUUGCUUGUCAUAAUUCCGUUCAAAAAAAAAACUAUACUUGUGAUGAUUCCCUUUCAAGCCCC
rnacentral:lncRNA from 1 species